GAUGAACGCUGACAGAAUGCUUAACACAUGCAAGUCAACUUGAACUUCGGUUUGGGUGGCGGACGGGUGAGUAACGCGUAAAGAACUUGCCUCACAGUUAGGGACAACAUUUGGAAACGAAUGCUAAUACCUGAUAUUAUGAUUUUAGGGCAUCCUAGAAUUAUGAAAGCUAUAUGCGCUGUGAGAGAGCUUUGCGUCCCAUUAGCUAGUUGGAGAGGUAACGGCUCACCAAGGCGAUGAUGGGUAGCCGGCCUGAGAGGGUGAACGGCCACAAGGGGACUGAGACACGGCCCUUACUCCUGCGGGAGGCAGCAGUGGGGAAUAUUGGACAAUGGACCAAGAGUCUGAUCCAGCAAUUCUGUGUGCACGAUGAAGUUUUUCGGAAUGUAAAGUGCUUUCAGUUGGGAAGAAAAAAAUGACGAUACCAACAGAAGAAGUGACGGCUAAAUACGUG
rnacentral:rRNA from 1 species